rnacentral:piRNA from 1 species
CAGAAGCCUAAGAUAGGUGUGUGUGUCUGU